rnacentral:rRNA from 1 species
GAUGAACGCUAGCGGCAGGCCUAACACAUGCAAGUCGAGGGAGAAGCCCUUUCGGGGGCAGAAACCGGCGCACGGGUGCGUCACGCGUAUGCAACCUACCUUUCACAGGGGGAUAGCCCAAAGAAAUUUGGAUUAAUACCCCAUAAUAUUAUUGGAUGGCAUCAUUUGAUAAUUAAAACUACGUUGGUGAAAGAUGGGCAUGCGUCCUAUUAGCUAGUUGGAGUGGUAACGGCACACCAAGGCUACGAUAGGUAGGGGUCCUGAGAGGGAGAUCCCCCACACUGGUACUGAGACAGGGACCAGACGCCGACGGGAGGCAGCAGUGAGGAAUAUUGGUCAAUGGUCGGAAGACUGAACCAGCCAUGCCGCGUGCAGGAAGAAUGCCUUAUGGGUUGUAAACUGCUUUUAUAUGGAAGAAUAAGGCGUACGUGUACGUUGAUGACGGUACCAUAUGAAUAAGCAUCGGCUAACUCCGUG